UACGGGGGGGGCAAGCGUUGUUCGGAAUUACUGGGCGUAAAGGGCUCGUAGGUGGCCAACUAAGUCAUACGUGAAAUCCCUCGGCUUAACCGGGGAACUGCGUCUGAUACUGGAUGGCUUGAGGUUGGGAGAGGGAUGCGGAAUUCCAGGUGUAGCGGUGAAAUGCGUAGAUAUCUGGAGGAACACCGGUGGCGAAGGCGGCAUCCUGGACCAAUUCUGACACUGAGGAGCGAAAGCCAGGGGAGCGAACGGG
rnacentral:rRNA from 1 species